rnacentral:rRNA from 1 species
AGUGAACGCUGCGGUAGGCCUCACCCCUGCAAGUCGAACGGCAGCACCGUAAGAGCUUGCUCUUACGGGUGGCGAGUGGCGGACGGGUGAGGAAUACAUCGGAAUCUACUUUUUCGUGGGGGAUAACGUAGGGAAACUUACGCUAAUACCGCAUACGACCUACGGGUGAAAGCAGGGGAUCUUCGGACCUUGCGCGAUUGAAUGAGCCGAUGUCGGAUUAGCUAGUUGGCGGGGUAAAGGCCCACCAAGGCGACGAUCCGUAGCUGGUCUGAGAGGAUGAUCGGCCACACUGGAACUGAGACACGGUCCAGACUCCUACGGGAGGCAGCAGUGGGGAAUAUUGGACAAUGGGCGCAAGCCUGAUCCAGCCAUACCGCGUGGGUGAAGAAGGCCUUCGGGUUGUAAAGCCCUUUUGUUGGGAAAGAAAAGCAGCAGGUUAAUACCCCGCUGUUCUGACGGUACCCAAAGAAUAAGCACCGGCUAACUUCGUG